CGAUCAGGUCCCAUUCAAAUAUUUCUUGAUUACUGAUUUGUUUCCUUUUUUUUUUACAACCACCCCCCACCCCCAGGUCUCUGUGUCCCUCCCACCCCUCGAUCCCCCCUGUGUGCGAGUCCCUCGUCUCAGCUUUGGUUGCUGUGCAGAUGGCUCUUUGUUGGUGCUUCACAAUGGGUCUAAGGACCUCAAAGGCCAAGAAAGCCAGGCAGACCAUGCAGGACACUGCUGUUCAAAACAAAAGAGCUCAGUUUGCCCUCCACCAAUGUGUCCAAUUAUAGGGACCCCUCCCCCGCCUAAUCCAGACCCCUAUGCUCUUUCAUGGGCCCUCUUACCCCUGCAGCACUGACAUUCCACAACUCAGGUCAGUCCUUUGUCCUGAAGAAAGUAAGUGAAAUUAUUGUGUUGCACUUCCCAUCCUAUAUCCUGGAACUAAUGCAAAACACUUUAUUUACUGUCAAACAUAUUAUAUUGCAAAAACAAAGACGUCUUUCUCUCAUACAGCACUGCUUUAUGUUUUUCCAUAAUUUUGAACAACUUCAAAACAGGUCUCCUGUUCCUACUUGUGGAAAGUGUGGUAAAGACUCCGGUUGUGGGAAAAUGAGAAGUUUGAAAAAAGUGCCCACAUGAAUUAAAUAUAUUUUACAACCCGGUUAGCUGCAACAGUUACUUACCUGCACAGUGAAAUAGGCUGAUAGAUACACAUGGAAACAUGUUGAGUUGGGCAAAUAAGAAAAAAAAGCGGACAGGAAAUGAUCUCACAAACACUCUCCCACUGAUUGCUCCCAUUUUCCAGUUACAGAAAAAGAGUGAGUAAUGCCUGCUGCUGCUUUGAGUCCGCUCUUCUGUUCCUCCCCUGGAUCUACUGAGAACAUUACAUUGUGGAUGUCCGCCUCAGUGCUCUGUAGUCUCCACAUGGUCUUUAUUCCUCAAAUAAAAGGAUAUUACACGUCA